rnacentral:rRNA from 1 species
AGUGAACGCUGGCGGUAGGCCUAACACAUGCAAGUCGAACGGCAGCACAGUAAGAGCUUGCUCUUACGGGUGGCGAGUGGCGGACGGGUGAGGAAUACAUCGGAAUCUACUUUUUCGUGGGGGAUAACGUAGGGAAACUUACGCUAAUACCGCAUACGGCCUACGGGUGAAAGCAGGGGAUCUUCGGACCUUGCGCGAUUGAAUGAGCCGAUGUCGGAUUAGCUAGUUGGCGGGGUAAAGGCCCACCAAGGCGACGAUCCGUAGCUGGUCUGAGAGGAUGAACAGCCAAACUGGAACUGAGACACGGUCCAGACUCCUACGGGAGGCAGCAGUGGGGAAUAUUGGACAAUGGGCGCAAGCCUGAUCCAGCCACACCGCGUGGGUGAAGAAGGCCUUCGGGUUGUAAAGCCCUUUUGUUGGGAAAGAAAAGCAGCAGGUUAAUACCCCGCUGUUCUGACGGUACCCAAAGAAUAAGCACCGGCUAACUUCGUG